rnacentral:rRNA from 1 species
GCAUAUCAAUAAGCGGAGGAAAAGAAACCAACAGGGAUUACCUUAAGUUAACGGCGAAGUGAAGCGGUAACAGCUCAAAUUUGAAAUCUGGUCCCCUCUGGGGGCCCGAGUUGUAAUUUGAAGAGGAUGCUUUUGGCGAGGCGCCUUCCGAGUGCCCUGGAACGGGACGCCACAGAGGGUGAGAGCCCCGUAUGGUAGGACGCCGAGCCUCUGUAAAGCUCCUUCGACGAGUCGAGUAGUUUGGGAAUGCUGCUCAAAAUGGGAGGUAAACCCCUUCUAAAGCUAAAUAUUGGCCAGAGACCGAUAGCGCACAAGUAGAGUGAUCGAAAGAUGAAAAGCACUUUGAAAAGAGAGUUAAACAGCACGUGAAAUUGUUGAAAGGGAAGCGCUUGCGACCAGACUUGCGCCCGUCGGAUCAACCGUCCCUCGUGGGCGGCGCACUCCGGCGGGCUCAGGCCAGCAUCAGUUUUCCCGGGGGGAGAAAGGCGGUGGGAAUGUGGCUCUUCGGAGUGUUAUAGCCCUCCGCGUAAUGCCCCCGGGGGGACUGAGGACCGCGCGUAAGCAAGGAUGCUGGCGUAAUGGUCGUCAGCGACCCGUCUUGAAACACGGACCAAGGAGUCGUCCUAAUAUGCGAGUGUACGGGUGUAAAACCCCUGCGCGUAAUGAAAGUGAACGGAGGUGAGAGCUUCGGCGCAUCAUCGACCGAUCCUGAUGUUCUCGGAUGGAUUUGAGUAAGAGCAUAUUGGGCCGGACCCGAAAGAAGGUGAACUAUGCCUGUAUAGGGUGAAGCCAGAGGAAACUCUGGUGGAGGCUCGCAGCGGCUCUGACGUGCAAAUCGAUCGUCAAAUAUGGGCAUGGGGGGCGAAAGACUAAUCGAACCUUCUAGUAGCUGGUUUCCGCCGAA